rnacentral:rRNA from 1 species
UUUUGGACAAUGGGCGAAAGCCUGAUCCAGCCAUGCCGCGUGAGUGAAGAAGGCCUUCGGGUUGUAAAGCUCUUUUAGUUGGAAAGAAAGAAUUAUGGUUAAUAACUAUAAUUUAUGACGGUACCAACAGAAAAAGCACCGGCUAACUACGUGCCAGCAGCCGCGGUAAUACGUAGGGUGCGAGCGUUAAUCGGAAUUACUGGGCGUAAAGGGUGCGCAGGCGGCCAUGCAAGUCAGAUGUGAAAGCCCCGGGCUUAACCUGGGAAUUGCGUUUGAAACUGCAAGGCUAGAGUGCAACAGAGGGGAGUGGAAUUCCAUGUGUAGCAGUGAAAUGCGUAGAGAUGUGGAAGAACACCGAUGGCGAAGGCAGCUCCCUGGGUUGACACUGACGCUCAUGCACGAAAGCGUGGGGAGCAAACAGGA